GACGAACGCUGGCGGCGUGCUUAACACAUGCAAGUCGAACGGUGAAGCGCCUUCCUUUUUGGUGGGUGUGGAUGAGUGGCGAACGGGUGAGUAACACGUGAGUAACCUGCCCCCUUCUUCUGGAUAACCGCAUGAAAGUGUGGCUAAUACGGGAUAUUCUGGGUCUGUCGCAUGAUGGGUCUGGGAAAGAUAUUGUUUCGGUGGGGGAUGGGCUCGCGGCCUAUCAGCUUGUUGGUGGGGUGAUGGCCUACCAAGGCGGUGACGGGUAGCCGGCCUGGGAGGGUGGACGGUCACACUGGGACUGAGACACGGCCCCGACUCCGACGGGAGGCAGCAGUGGGGAAUAUUGCACAAUGGGCGCAAGCCUGAUGCAGCGCCGCCGCGUGAGGGAUGGAGGCCUUCGGGUUGUGAACCUCUUUCGCCAGUGAAGCAGGCCUGCCUCGUUUGUGGGUGGGUUGACGGUAGCUGGAUAAGAAGCGCCGGCUAACUACGUG
rnacentral:rRNA from 1 species